UUGGCGGUCGGGUCGACCUCACGGGUAACUACCAGGUAUUCGCGCAGUGCGAUGGCGUGCAGAUGCUC
rnacentral:sRNA from 1 species